rnacentral:rRNA from 1 species
UACGUAGGGGGCAAGCGUUGUCCGGAUUUAUUGGGCGUAAAGAGCGUGUAGGCGGCCAUGCAGGUCAGCUGUGAAAACUCGAGGCUCACCUCGAGACGUCGGUUGAAACCGCAUGGCUAGAGUCCGGAAGAGGAGAGUGGAAUUCCCGGUGUAGCGGUGAAAUGACGCAGAUAUCGGGAGGAACACCUGUGGCGAAAGCGGCUCACUGGACCACAACUGACGCUGAGGCGCGAAAGCU